GAACAGUGGAGCAUAAGAGAGGAGACGGUUUGGUUCAUGAAUGGUAAGUUACAUAUUAGACGUCCUAACCUACUAGUUCCUGUGGCUUCUUUACUACUGAAUAUGUUAAUGUGCAUCUAAGAGACAAAGCUGAGUAAAAAAAAAGAGUUGGAAAUCAGGUUCACAUAUGUGUGUGUUGAAUUUAAGAGAGUGUGCGAGAUCAACUGUAGAUAGCGUGUAAAACGAGGAGAACACCUAUCUUAAUAUAUUUGCUUGACUCCUCUGCAAAGCCAUGUAAACUUUUUGAGAGAUAUUAUGAUUAUUUACUCAUCUUUGAUUCUCCAGAACCUGUCCUGCUGUUUGACAAAUAAUAGUGUAUCCCUUUAUGUUUCUAUUUAAUAAUUGAAAGAAUCAUUGCCUUAUUCAAACCAUCUCAUGCGUUUAGGAAAAAAUUAUGGAACUUUUGUUUUCCUCGUAAGUAUGUCUCAUUUCCAGAACUAGAAACUUCAUGCUAUAAUGCUACAAGGCUCAAAGCUGUUUCUACCUUUUAGGACAUCUGACAACCUCACAUGAGUCUUCUGGAAUGAUUACCCUGGGUCUUAUUUUUACUUAUUUGCUCUCACAUUGGGACCAUCUUUACUCCUACUACGGGGUUGGUGGGGAUGUGAUGGAGCUUUGUAAGUAGGGAGGUUCUAUUCCUCUUGACUCAUGUCUUCCCUUUUCUCCCUAGGAUGUGAAUCACAUCAUGGAAAGGAGUAAGAACUUGAAUCUGAAGAAACCAAAAACUUUUCUCAAGGAACAAAAGAGAGUGUCCCGAAUUCCUGAUCUGAAAGUGAUAACACAAACUUUUAGAGCUCAGAUGACUCCAAAACAUCUCCAAAAUACAGCCUAUGCUGCCUAUUUCUACAGAUCGAAGACAAAUGAGAUGUGUGUGCUGUUGGACACCAAAUAAUACAUAUGAUAGCAAUUAUGGUGUCCUGGGCUCCCUGGUCAUUGGACUGGAGAAAAAUUACUGGGAGGUAGAUCCUGGAGGUAUAUGAUGGAAAAUGCCCAGAACCCAAUAUGAAAUUUCAUGUUAUACAUGAUUGAAAUCAACAUGUUUACCUAGGUUUCAACCAAAUAUGACUACUGCAUUAAAAGGUGCCACAUCAAGUUGAAUAUAAUGUUUUUAAGGAGUCGUCCUUCUCCGACCCCUUCAUAUUAAUCUUGGCCCUACCUGUCCCUCCGCACUGUGUUGGAGUUUUCCUAGACCAUGAGGCUGGCCCUGUUUCAUUUUUCCAUGUCACAAACCAUGGGUUUCUCAUCUAUAAAUUCUCUUCAUGUUCCUUUUCUCAGGCAGUUUUUCCAUAUUUCAACCUUCUUACAAGCCUACUCAUUUCUUUGUAGUGCC
rnacentral:lncRNA from 1 species